UGUGUAUGGUGGGGCUCGUGAUGGGA
rnacentral:piRNA from 1 species